UUUGAAGUUCUCUCUAUCUCUGUGAUUUCUUCUAAUUUCUUAGUAUUCACUUUGAGUUUAUCAUUUUCCAUUCAAGUUGGAAGCUCUGUAAAUCUGCAUUAAAUCCUGGGGUUUUACGGUCAAGAUCAGCUAUCAACAGGUAAUCCAAGCAUGGUACUGUCAUUUGCUGGAAAUGAUGUUGACCUGGAAGACAAGAGCACAGUUACAACAUAAGAGGCACGUGUAUAUGCCAAGGAGAAUGAUCUUUGUUUCAUGGAGACAUCAGCUAAAACUGUUGCUAAUGUGAACGAUGCACUUCAUGAAAUUCGUUUUAUAUGAAAGGCUUUCAUCAGAAAAAUUCAAUUCAACAUCUAUCGAAACAAUGUGGAGAAGCUCCAACAAAGACACUUCCUCUCCAGAUCUCUACUCAAGGUCAUUUUUUUAGAAUUUUUUAUUUUCACUUAAAUUUAAAUCUUAAUUAAACAAAAUAUUUUACAAAUUUAUGAGUGCUUUAUAUAACUUGCUUGAUGGGAAGCUUCAACAAAGACACUUCCUCUCCAACUGUCAUGGAUGAUGGAAAGGGAGGUGUACUUGUAAGAGGUUUAGAGGAGGAGAUAGUGUCAACUUGUUAUAUUAGUGUUCAAGUCAUUACUUACCAUUUAUGCCCAGUCGACCGCAGCCCAGUACACCAGGUGGCAAACCAGUGAGAUGGAGGAUUUUUUUCUGACAUGAUAUCUGAAACAAGAAGGUGCUCCUUAAUAGCAAUGUAGUAUUAGGUUAUAUAGUUAAGGAAAACCUCUUAAUAACAAUGUACAAUCAGAUCCCUUAAUAUUAAUAUAUUACAA